CAACUGGCCACAAGGGAGGCAGGAAAGGCUUUCCAGAAGAGGAAACAUGAACUGGGCCUUGGUGGAUGUGCAGGAAUCAAGAAGGCAGGAAGAAAUGGCGGCGCGGGAGGAGCACAUAACAGGAGUUGGGGUCUGGCAGAAUUUCCAGUGGAGGAGAGAAUGUCAGCCCACUCAAAAGAUUCACCAGCUUCAUCAGUGGCAGCCGGGAGGACACAUUGGCCCCAACCUCUGUCCUCACCCUACCGGACGUCCAACCCCUCGAAGGGCGCAGCUGUGUUCCUAGGGCUAAGCCUUGAUAACGACCGGAAAUGGACCCUGAAGAGGAGAGCCAGGGAGCUCCCUGCAGGUUCUGUGAGAAACCCCCAGCCCACCCUCCCCGAUGGUAUGCAUCAGGCCAAUAACAUUGACCUUGCCGUUUCCACCAAGAUCUAAGAGGACCUGAGACAACAUGAUUCCUUUUUCUUUUUUAAAAAAUGUUUUUAAUGUUCAUUUAUUUU